rnacentral:rRNA from 1 species
AUUGAACGCUGGCGGCAGGCUUAACACAUGCAAGUCGAGCGGGGGAAGGUAGCUUGCUACCGGACCUAGCGGCGGACGGGUGAGUAAUGCUUAGGAAUCUGCCUAUUAGUGGGGGACAACAUCUCGAAAGGGAUGCUAAUACCGCAUACGUCCUACGGGAGAAAGCAGGGGAUCUUCGGACCUUGCGCUAAUAGGUGAGCCUAAGUCGGAUUAGCUAGUUGGUGGGGUAAAGGCCUACCAAGGCGACGAUCUGUAGCGGGUCUGAGAGGAUGAUCCGCCACACUGGGACUGAGAAACGGCCCAGACUCCUACGGGAGGCAGCAGUGGGGAAUAUUGGACAAUGGGGGGAACCCUGAUCCAGCCAUGCCGCGUGUGUGAAGAAGGCCUUAUGGUUGUAAAGCACUUUAAGCGAGGAGGAGGCUACCCUAGUUAAUACCUAGGGAUAGUGGACGUUACUCGCAGGAUAAGCACCGGCUAACUCUGUGCCAGCCGCCGCGGUAA